UACGUAGGGUGCAAGCGUUAAUCGGAAUUACUGGGCGUAAAGCGUGCGCAGGCGGUUUUGUAAGACUGUCGUGAAAUCCCCGGGCUUAACCUGGGAAUUGCGAUGGUGACUGCAAGGCUAGAGUUUGGCAGAGGGGGGUAGAAUUCCACGUGUGGCAGUGAAAUGCGUAGAGAUGUGGAGGAACACCGAUGGCGAAGGCAGCCCCCUGGGUCAAAACUGACGCUCAUGCACGAAAGCGUGGGGAGCAAACAGG
rnacentral:rRNA from 1 species